UUAUCUUCCCCCUCAAUGCACCCAAGCGCCAUGAAAUUGUUCCAGGCAGUGAUGGUGUUAUAAGGCUGUCGCUUGAGCAUUCUGGUAGUUCGUGUGUGUUUGUGGCAUUUUCUAAUUGAUGUUCUGAGACUGUACAUCUAACAUGGGGAUAGAGAAUGUGGAAAAAUGCGAGUUUGGGAAACUGCUCUAUGUGACUGGAGCCACGCAUCAGGUGUGCAGGAGCUCUUCGCCUGAUCCUUGACCUCCUUCUGUAGCUCAGUUGGUAGAGCAUGGCGCUUGUAACGCCAGGGUAGUGGGUUCAAUCCCCGGGACCACCCAUACGUAGAAUGUAUGCACACACGACUGUAAGUCGCUUUGGAUAAAAGCGUCUGCUAAAUGGCAUAUAUUUUUUAUUUUUUUAUUUAUCAACCAGUAAACUUGAGUUUACCCAUUGCGGUUUACCAUAGCAUUGGUGUAUGUUCAUUGUGAGGGUUAUUACCUUGAGAAUUCCUCUAUAGUACAUGUAGAGGAAUUCUACAUAGGUACAUAGGUCAUUAUCUGUUUUACUUUAACAGUGAGACAGAUGGUGUAUGGGUGUUAUAAUGGCAGGUUUGGUGACUGUGGAUCUGUUCUAGACAUACAUCUGCUGAUCUACCCCACACUGGGUCAUCAUUAAAAGUACAGUCUAUAGUGUUUACAGCAUUUUGGUAGAAAUGCAUCCCGUGUUCAAAUACAUCCUCAUUAAUGCAGCAGCCUUGAUUUGAAUAGUUGAAUAGGAUCAUUCAUAUAAUUUAUUCAUAUAUAUACUCCUUAAUUUUCAGUGUUUCUCAUGUUUCGGAGCAGAAGAAGCAGUGGAAAUGCUGAAUACCUUUUUAUAAACAGGAGAAGCCAAAUGCCCCCAAGACAAGGAAGGAGUGAGAUACUGUUGCUAUCCAGCAGGGGGCAAUAUUCGUUAAGUAAUGAGGUGAGGAGCAGAGAACGAACAUAAGGCAAAGGGAGUAGCUAACAAAGGGUUCUCCUGAAACAGACUUGGAACACAACCAUGGGUCCUAUGGAUUUGUUUGUCUGACAAAGAAAUCAAAUGUACUUUUUCAUCUUUUCACUUAUUCGCUCAGCCUUUUGCAUCAGCACUCAUUUUUAUUUUCAUAUUAUUGACAGUGUUUUAUACCCUUAGAGCAUAGUUUGAAUGGACAGUGGACACUAUCCAUGGCCUGUAAAGUCCCUUGCUGCUAUAACAGCCUCUACUCUUCUGGGAAGGCUAGAUGUUGGAACAUUUUUGUGGGGACUUCCAUUCAGACACAAGAGCAUUAGUGAGUUCGCCUACUGAUGUUGGGCGAUUAGGCCUGGCUCGCAAUCAGCGUUCCAAUUCAUCCCAAAGGUGUUCGAUGGUGGUGAGGUGAGGGCUCUGUGCAGGCCAGUCAAGUUCCUCCACGCCGAUUUCGACAAACCAUUUGUGUAUGGACCUCGCUUUGUGCACAGGGUCAUUGUUGUGCUGUUAACAGGACAGGACCUUCCCCAAACUGUUACCACAAAGUUGGAAGCACAGAAUCAUCUAGAAUGUCAUUGUAUUCUGUAGCGUUUAAGAUUUCCCUUCACUGGAACUAGGGCCUAGCCCCAGACCAUUAUUCCUCCUCCACCAAACUUUAUAGUUGGCACUAUGCAUUGGGGCACGACGUGUUCACCUGGCAUUCGCCAAACCCAGAUUCAUCCCUAUAUGCUGUCUUAUCAUUGUUGGUGAUCAGGCCUGCCACUGUUGUGUCAUUGGCAAAGGUAAUGAUGGUGUUGUGCCUGGCCGUGCAGUCAUGAGUGAACAGGGAGUGCAGGAGGGGACUAAGCACGCACCUCUGAGGGGCCUCCGUGUUGAGGAUCAGGGUGGCGGAUGUGUUGUUACCUACCCUUACCACCUGGGGGUGGCCCGUCAGGAAGUCCAGGAUCCAGUUGCAGAGGGAGGUGUUUAGUCCCAGGGUCCUUUGCUUAGUGAUGAGCUUUAAAAAAAAAUAUAUAUAUAUAUAUACUCUGAUUUUAUUGUAGGAACACAAAGAAAGUACAAUAAUGUAAAAUAAAAGAACAACAAAAAAGAUCUAGCAGUUACAGUGCACGUCAUAUCUUCAUCAUAUUAGUUACAUUGACAUCUUUGAAUUAGACCUUUUUCAAGUACGAAACCCAUUUUUCCCAGUAUUGACCUCUCUCCUGUUGAGUUCUUAAAGCAAAGGUCAUACGCUCCAUGGGGUAUAUUUAUUUUACAAUAUCUAUCCAUUGUGUCACUGUGGGAGGGUCUUUUUGUAGCCAUUUCCUAGUGAUAGCCUUUUUACUGGCUGCCAGUAGGACCUUCAAGAGGUACUUUUCUCUAUUGUGUAAGUCAUCAGGUAUUUCACCCAUGUACAAAGAAAUGAAUGUUUGUUCGAUGUCAAAUCCCAUUAUUUUUCCAAUGUUCGAUCUUAUUUCUCCCCAGUAAGUUUUGAUUUCUGAGCAGGACCAGAAGAUAUGAGAGUGAUCCACCCUUGAUAGCCCACAUUCUCUCCAAGAAGGGUGUAGUGAGCCAGUCUGUUUUGAUUUGAGUUUAGGUGUUAUGAAGAAACGUAUAACAUUCUUCCAACAGAACUCUCUCCAUGACCUUGAGUUGGUGGAGCUUUGUUGAGUCUCUAAUAUGUUCAACCAUGUUUCAUCAGUUAUUUCAAUGUUAAGUUCCUCCUCCCAUUGCUUUUUAAUAUAGUUUGUAGAAUGUUUCUUUGGUGAUUGAAUACCCAAGUGAGAUUUGUAAGUGUUUUUUUGUUACUCCCCAAGUUGUAUGUGUUAGUGAAUACUUGGAUUAAUUUGAGGUGCUCGAGGGUCAGUCACUUUUAUCUCCCCUAAGAAAUAGUGUUGGACUUGUAGGCAUCUGUAAAAAUCUUGUUUAUCCAAGCCAUGUUCUUUACUUAGGUCCUGGAAGUUAUCUAGGUCCCCAUUCCUUAUAAUUGUACUGAAUGAUGUGAUGCCUUUCUGCGUCCAUUGUUUAAAUCUGCUGUCCUGAGUUGCCGGGAUGAAGCUGAGGUCGUAUGCGGGCCAACUCAGCAGUUUGAUCUCUCUGUCUAAAUUAUUUUGCUUAACUACCCUAAAUCAUGUCUUCAGAGAGAAAUUUAUCCACUGAUUUUGUCUAUUGUAUAUUUCUAUUACCAUGUCCUUAUUACCCAUACAGUCAGUUUUGGGAAUCUCCGUCAAAGUAGUUUCAAUGUCUUUCCAUUUGGAUUCGUAUUAUGAAUUGCACAAACACACCAGAGGUCUCAAUUGGGCUGACACACAAUACUCUUUUAGGUUUGGUAAGCUCACACCCCCACAGUUUUUUGGUAAUUGUAAUGUUGUAUAUCUAGUUCUUGGUCUCUUACUGUUCCAGAUAAACCUUGAUAUCCGUUUAUCCCUAAACUGUUUAGGUGGGAUUUGUAUGGGCAGUGAUUGGAACAAAUACAGUAACCUUGGCAGGAUGUUCAUUUUGAUUGUUUCAAUUCUACUACUAAGAUCUAAGGGAAGUGAAUUCCACCUAUAGGUCAUCAUAUAUUUUCUUGUUGAUGUGAUUGUAAUUCAUGCAAUAAAGUUUGGGUGUAUCUUUGGUAGAUAUGCUCCAAUAUAUUUAAUGGUUAAAGAGGUCCAGUGGAAGUUAUACCUGCUCUUCCUGUGGGGUAUAAUUAUAUACUAGGUUUUGGGUCUUGUGUAUGUCAAGCACAUACCCUGAAUUAUGUUCCAAAUGUUUGUAAAACAUCCAUCAGUCUAGAGGUACACUUGAGCCUGGGUCUUUAAGGAAUAACAGAACAUCAUCAGCAUACAUGCAUGUCUUAUGUUCACUGCCUCUUAUUGUUAUUCCCUCUAAGGUUGGGUCAUGUCUUAUUGCCUGUGCUAAUGGUUCGAGGUACAAGGAGAAGAGCGUGGGUGAAAGAUUACAGCCUUGUCUUGCCCCUCGCUCUAAUUUUAUCGUUCGUGUCAAAUGUCCAUUUAUCUUUAUUCUAGCAGUUGGACAUGAAUACAGUGUUUUGAUGCACUGUAUCACUUCUUUGUUGAAACCAAAUCUUUCUUGGAAUAGGUAAUCCCAUCCCACUGAAUCAAAUGCCUUUUCUGCAUCGAGGCUGAUUAAUAAUGCACUUAUCUUAUUCUGAGUAAUGUGGUCCAUGACAUGUAGGGUUCUCCUUAUAUUGUCCUGUAUCUGCCUAUUUUGUAUGAAACCAGUUUGAUCUCCGUCAAUAAAUUCUGGGAGUAUGUUCUGUU